ACUUGCAAAUAAAACCUAGCCAUUAACUUUCUCACCUGUGUCUAUCAACCUAGGCAAGGCCAUAAAAAAUUACAAAAACAGAUUGGUAUCAUUAGUAAGUUAAGAUUUUCUGCCUCAGACUCUAAAAAUCACCUGAAACUGUUUCAAAAAACUAUGAUGACUUCAUGCUUCUACAUUCCACAGUGAUUUUCUUCCAAUUUCAUUUUGACGAACUGGGAACCCCUCGUCUUCCAGAUCUACAAACCUAUCUUCUUUAGAAGCCUGAACCUCUUUUUCUCCUGUUUCUCUGGGAGUAGUUUCCCUCCACCUGUGAGACUACAAGUCUCUAUACCCCAUUAAGGGAAGGACAGUAGGCUGAUCCCGUUGGCAGGCCGAGGGAAGGAAACGGAUCUAGCCUAGAUUCUGAGACUUCAAUGUAUAGAUAACAAUUGAAAACCGUGGCUUGUUUGUGAAGUAGAAAAUGAAGCAAUGACAUUAGAUGAUUCCAAAAAGAAGAUUAAUCAAAGUGGAGAAAAGGACAAGAGAAAAAUGAGAAAAAGCCACAUUUUAAAAGGUUUUUGAGAAGGAAGUUGUUAAGUCACAAACACUCUGGUGACUCUGAGAACUGAAAAGUGUCCAUUGGAUUUUCCAUUCCCCAGACUAAGAAGAGUGUGCAGAUGGCGGAAGGACUGACAUUACAAAUUUCCAUUAUGCUACAUCACAGAUUAUUUUUAAAAACGUAGCAUUAAAAGAAAUACUUUGGGGGCCGGCUCUGUGGCCGAGUGGUUAAGUUCGUGCGCUCCGCUGCGGUGGCCCAGGGUUUGGAUCCUGGGCGUGGACAUGGCACUGCUCGUCAGGCCACAUUGAGGCGGCGUCCCACAUCCCACAACCAGAAGGACGUGCAACUAAGAUAUACAACUGUGUACAGGGGCGGGGUGGGGAGAUAAAAGCAGAAAAAAAAAAAAAAAAAAAAGAUUGGCAACAGUUGUUAGCCCAGGUGCCAAUCUUAAAAAAAAAAAAAAAUACUUUGGUAAAUGUAUCUGAUGGCUAGCAUGUGUUCAACAAACAUCACUUGCAUGGUUCUUUUUCCUGGUUACCCAUUCACAUUUUCACAUAUAGAAUGAGGAUUGCUAUUUGCAUGUUAACUAUGAGAACACUGAGAUAAAUAUUGAGGUUUUGACCAAGGUCACAGGGGAAAUUGAUGCCAGAGCUAGGCAAGAGCUCCAGCUUCUGAGGAGUAUAUGCCAAGAAGAGGGAGAAAGAUAAAAAAAAGUUUUGUGUGUUUUUCCUACUCAAGGUCAGUAGAGAAGGAAUUACCUUCUUUCUUAUUGGAUUUGAAUUCAGAUUAAGUUCUUUAAUUUCCGUCUUUGUCCCCAGUGUUUAUUCAGUUGAGUCCCAGAUUUCUUGUAAUGAAUAGGAUAGCAGGACAGCAAGAAGAGAGGGUUAAUAUUCAGACAUAAUGUGCCACUGACUGCUGCGUGAGCCACAGUUUUGGCUCAUAGGUGUACUUGAAAACCCCCAGAUUCCAUCUGUUUCCUUCAUUGCCUUAGGAGUUUGGAGUUAAUUGAUAAAGCUCGGCUCAACCUACCAUUUUUGAAGAAUACUUAAUUUUUUUCUGGUAUUUAAAAAUUCCAAAUAGCUUAAAGACUAAGUAUGGAAGUAAAA
rnacentral:lncRNA from 1 species